GAUGAACCGCUUCGGUGGUGGAUUAGUGGCGAACGGGUGAGUAACACGUGGGCAAUCUGCCCUUCACUCUGGGACAAGCCCUGGAAACGGGGUCUAAUACCGGAUAAUACUCUUUUCUGCAUGGGAGGGGGUUGAAAGCUCCGGCGGUGAAGGAUGAGCCCGCGGCCUAUCAGCUUGUUGGUGGGGUAAUGGCCUACCAAGGCGACGACGGGUAGCCGGCCUGAGAGGGCGACCGGCCACACUGGGACUGAGACACGGCCCAGACUCCUACGGGAGGCAGCAGUGGGGAAUAUUGCACAAUGGGCGAAAGCCUGAUGCAGCGACGCCGCGUGAGGGAUGACGGCCUUCGGGUUGUAAACCUCUUUCAGCAGGGAAGAAGCGCAAGUGACGGUACCUGCAGAAGAAGCGCCGGCUAACUACGUGCCAGCAGCCGCGGUAAUACGUAGGGCGCAAGCGUUGUCCGGAAUUAUUGGGCGUAAAGAGCUCGUAGGCGGCUUGUCACGUCGGAUGUGAAAGCCCGGGGCUUAACCCCGGGUCUGCAUUCGAUACGGGCUAGCUAGAGUGUGGUAGGGGAGAUCGGAAUUCCUGGUGUAGCGGUGAAAUGCGCAGAUAUCAGGAGGAACACCGGUGGCGAAGGCGGAUCUCUGGGCCAUUACUGACGCUGAGGAGCGAAAGCGUGGGGAGCGAACAGGAUUAGAUACCCUGGUAGUCCACGCCGUAAACGUUGGGAACUAGGUGUUGGCGACAUUCCACGUCGUCGGUGCCGCAGCUAACGCAUUAAGUUCCCCGCCUGGGGAGUACGGCCGCAAGGCUAAAACUCAAAGGAAUUGACG
rnacentral:rRNA from 2 species